rnacentral:tRNA from 1 species
AACCACGUAGCUCAGUUGGAAGAGCAUUGGGCUGGUAUUCCAAAGGUCGUAGGUUCGAAUCCCACCGUGGCCG